rnacentral:ncRNA from 1 species
UACGUGCUCCGGGGUCGGUGGAAUUCCGAACCGGCGGUUAUAGUCCGCGAGCCGCAGACGACGCGUUCUCACCUCGAGAACGAACACCCUGCGGUUGACCUGGUGAAACUCCAGGACCGACGGUAACGAGGCGAGAUUCUUCGCCUCCAAAGUCCGGAUGAGAGGAUGCACGCG